GUUUGAAGAGGAAACAGUGAAUAAGAAUAGCACAAGAAGAUAAACAGCUACUUGAAAACAAAGUUUUCCAGCUCCCUUCCUAAUGCAAAACUUAACAGCAAUGUGCAGUUGAAGGCAAUGUGGCUGUGACAGGUGUCUCCAGAUGUUAUGAAGAACUAGCGCAAAGGAGAUGAUCUAUUUGACAGGCAGAACAUGAG